GAUGAACGCUGGCGGCGUGCCUAAUACAUGCGAGUCGAGCGAACAGACGAGGAGCUUGCUCCUCUGACGUUAGCGGCGGACGGGUGAGUAACACGUGGAUAACCUACCUAUAAGACUGGGAUAACUUCGGGAAACCGGAGCUAAUACCGGAUAAUAUAUUGACCCGCAUGGUUCAAUAGUGAAAGACGGUUUUGCUGUCACUUAUAGAUGGAUCCGCGCCGCAUUAGCUAGUUGGUAAGGUAACUGCUUACCAAGGCAACGAUGCGUAGCCGACCUGAGAGGGUGAUCGGCCACACUGGAACUGAGACACGGUCCAGACUCCUACGGGAGGCAGCAGUAGGGAAUCUUCUGCAAUGGGCGAAAGCUUGACGGAGCAACGCCGCGUGAGUGAUGAAGGUCUUCGGAUCGUAAAACUCUGUUAUUAGGGAAGAACAAAUGUGUAAGUAACUAUGCACGUCUUGACGGUACCUAAUCAGAAAGCCACGGCUAACUACGUG
rnacentral:rRNA from 1 species